AAUUUGCAUUUUGGAUGACCAACAACUAAUAUUUUACUAUAAGUAUGUCCCAUGCAAUAUUUGGGAUGUACUUAUGCUAAAAAAAUUAGUUGUUUAUUUAUUU
rnacentral:miRNA from 1 species